AAGCAUUAUUGAAGGCUAAUGGCCGUCAAUAAUGCACACCGGAAAAAGCGCAAUCUGACAUAGCACUUAAUGACGGCCUUGAGCCUCGAUAAAUCAAAAGAAUAAUAAAAUAAAAAAUAAAAAGCUGUAAACCAUAUCGAUUAAUUAUUGUUGUUUCAUUCUCUCUCUUUCUCAAAGAAGUCAUCUAAGUCUAACUCUCUUUCUCUCUAGCCGCUGUACCACUCCAUUUUCUCCUCAAUUCUUUCUCACUGCAAUAUCAAUUUGUCAAUCACUUUCAACAAUGGAGACUCCAUCGUCCACUUCAAGAAGAGUCACAAGUUCACAAACGACCACCUUGUUUGCUUUCAACAACAACAACAUUCCAUUUUCAAAAAGUCGAAGAAGAAGCUGAGAUUUCAGGAUUAUUGUUCGGUGGUGAAGACUCCAGGAUCUGGUGAAGCUUUGUUGAGGGGUCAAGUGAAAACCCUUUUGCAGACGUUGAAGAAGAAGCUGAGAUUUCCAAACUCACAAAUUCACAAUGGAUAUUCGUCCUUUUAUUUAAUUUAUUGUUCGGUGGUGGUUUGUGAUGGUGGGUGUAGUUGAGGUGGUUGAAGUAAAGAUGUUGUUCGGUGGUGGUUGUGAUGAUCGGUGUGGAGCAGUGGAGGAGGGAUUGAUUGGGGAGGUGGUUUGAUGAGCGCUGGUGGAAUUUGUGUAGAAUUUUCUUUCUUUUUUUUUAUUUUAAAAAAAUUACUUAUUGAAGGCUCAAGGCCGUCAGUAACGUUAUUGAUGGUCCUGGACCGCCAGUAAACAUUACCGACGAGUAAAUUGCAGAGGGCCCAUGGCCGUCAGUAAUGCUUGCAAUUUUGACGAAAUUUGUGCAUUAUUGAGGGCUUUUGGCCGCCAGUAAUACAUUGUUUUCUUUAUUAUAAGUAUUACUAUUUUUCUUUCUCGAGAGAAGACAAAGAUUGGUAGGAAUAAAAAUGAGAUCUUCAUCUCUCUUUGAAUUGAGUCUAUUUCUUUUCAAUGAAUGAGUGAAUAAUUCCAGCGCUA